UACGAAGGGGGCGAGCGUUGUUCGGAAUUACUGGGCGUAAAGGGCGCGCAGGCGGCCCUUGAAGUCAGGCGUGAAAGCCCCGGGCUCAACCUGGGAGGUGCGCUUGAUACUCGAGGGCUUGAGUGCGGGAGAGGAGAGUGGAAUUCCCAGUGUAGAGGUGAAAUUCGUAGAUAUUGGGAAGAACACCGGUGGCGAAGGCGGCAUCCUGGACCGGUAUUGACGCUGAGGCGCGAAAGCUAGGGGAGCAAACAGG
rnacentral:rRNA from 1 species